GAUGAACGCUGGCGGCGUGCCUAAUACAUGCAAGUCGAGCGAACAGAUGAGGAGCUUGCUCCUCUGACGUUAGCGGCGGACGGGUGAGUAACACGUGGAUAACCUACCUAUAAGACUGGGAUAACUUCGGGAAACCGGAGCUAAUACCGGAUAAUAUAUUGAACCGCAUGGUUCAAUAGUGAAAGACGGUUUUGCUGUCACUUAUAGAUGGAUCCGCGCCGCUUAGCUAGUUGGUAAGGUAACGGCUUACCAAGGCAACGAUGCGUAGCCGACCUGAGAGGGUGAUCGGCCACACUGGAACUAAGACACGGUCCAGACUCCUACGGGAGGCAGCAGUAGGGAAUCUUCCGCAAUGGGCGAAAGCCUGACGGAGCAACGCCGCGUGAGUGAUGAAGGUCUUCGGAUCGUAAAACUCUGUUAUUAGGGAAGAACAAAUGUGUAAGUAACUAUGCACGUCUUGACGGUACCUAAUCAGAAAGCCACGGCUAACUACGUG
rnacentral:rRNA from 1 species